GUCACCACCCACCUCUUAAACUCUGACGAAUUUUGAAGUGGGAGCUUCUAAAAAGCACUAGUUGAUUAGGCUAAAUGCUUAGAGUAUUAUCUUAUCCACGAAUGUAUAGAAACCUCAGGAUGUACAACCAAGUCUCAUGCUCUGCCGGUAGUGAACAAACAGUUCUAUGGGUAAGAACAAUUGUUGCUACCAUGAAACCGUGAAUAGUGGAUAUUUUGAUUUAAGUAAGUUAGAAGGUACUAUAAUUCAUAGAAAUGU
rnacentral:sRNA from 1 species